rnacentral:rRNA from 1 species
UGGGGAAUAUUGGACAAUGGGGGGAACCCUGAUCCAGCAAUACCGCGUGUGUGAAGAAGGCCUUCGGGUUGUAAAGCACUUUUGUUAGCGAGGAAUGAAGUAGAAGCUAAUAUCUUCUAUUUUUGACGUUAGCUAAAGAAAAAGCACCGGCUAACUCCGUGCCAGCAGCCGCGGUAAUACGGAGGGUGCAAGCGUUAAUCGGAAUUACUGGGCGUAAAGGGCGCGUAGGCGGUUAAAUCAGUCAGAUGUGAAAUCCCCGAGCUUAACUUGGGAAUUGCAUUUGAUACUGUUUGACUAGAAUGUGGUAGAGGGUAGCGGAAUUUCUGGUGUAGCGGUGAAAUGCGUAGAUAUCAGAAGGAACAUCAAUGGCGAAGGCAGCUACCUGGGCCAACAUUGACGC